GACGAACGCUGGCGGCGUGCUUAACACAUGCAAGUCGAGCGAGAGAAAUUCCUUCGGGAAGGACUCUAGCGGCGGACGGGUGAGUAACACGUGGGUAACCUGCCUCAUAGAGGGGAAUAGCCUUUCGAAAGGAAGAUUAAUACCGCAUAAGAUUGUAGUAUCGCAUGAUGCAGCAAUUAAAGGAGUAAUCCGCUAUGAGAUGGACCCGCGUCGCAUUAGCUAGUUGGUGAGGUAACGGCUCACCAAGGCGACGAUGCGUAGCCGACCUGAGAGGGUGAUCGGCCACAUGGGGACUGAGACACGGCCCAGACUCCUACGGGAGGCAGCGGUGGGGAAUAUUGCACAAUGGGGGAAACCCUGAUGCAGCAACGCCGCGUGAGUGAGGACGGUCUUCGGAUUGUAAAACUCUGUCUUCAGGGACGAUAAUGACGGUACCUGAGGAGGAAGCCACGGCUAACUACGUGCCAGCCGCCGCCGUAA
rnacentral:rRNA from 1 species